AUCAUUUUUAGUUUUUAUUACCAUUUCUCUUAAUUUCUACAGAUUUAUGUACAGUGUUCAUUUCACUAGUUAACAACUGCAAUGAUUGAUUACAACAUACGGCACAGCUAGUUAUCUCCCAUUUAACAAAACAAGAGAGUUACUUCCCCUUAUAACAAAUAAUAAAAUGAGAUCAAAAAUACAAAACAACAGAAUUGCACAAGGAAGGUAUUUAUCAUAAUGUUAAGUUCUCCAUUACCAUUUGAAGACUAGCACAAAUAAAGACAACAUGCCUUGUAUUCUCAGAUUCCAAGUCAGACUAUUGUUUUAUUUAUAUUUUGAAAGAUACAGCCCUUAGAAAGACAAAUUUCAAAAAAAUAAUAUACCAAACUUCCCCUAAGAAAAAAAUAUAUUAUUCAAAGCCAAAGUCUGAGAAAAAUAUUUAUGAUCAUAAAAAAAAAUUUGAUAACAGAAUAAUACUAAAUUUCUUUAAAAUUUUGACCAUUUAAGCUUCAUAUUGAUAUUGUAUGAUAUAUUCACUCAAGUGUAAAGCAGUGCAAGAUUAUCCCAAAAAUAUGUUUAUUGUACUUUUGUUUAUAUUUGAUAAGUUAUAAAUAAACAAUAUCCCUGAUAGUUUUUCACAAAGAGGAUUUAAUAAAGAUAUGUAAUUAAAUAAAUUAUGAUUAUGAAUAUAGAUUAACAAUACAUUAUUGAAAUAAAUAUGAUUUAUUUGUACAAGGCUUAGAAAUAGGUUGAAUGCAAAACUGUGCCGAGCAUUUCUUGCUAUUUCUAGCCAAAUAUAAAUAAAAUUUAUAUAUUUAAAUACAAUUGUUCUUUUCGUACAGCAACUAUCAAAAUAGUUUUAAAUGUAAUAUUUCAGGUUAAAACAUACAAUUAAUGAUUUGAAGCAGAAAAUUUAAAAUUUCAAGAAAUCUACAUUAUUUCAACAUGUCAUUAAUAAAACUCAUAGGGAAACCCAUUAUCAACUUCACAAACAAAGCUUUAUAUGGUCAGAGACUAUAUAAAGCCAAAGUUUAAACUGAGUGCAUUCAGAAUGCACAAAUAGCAUAUUUGCAGUAUGAAUAUAUAUAAUCUGAUUUUAUCAUAUAAUUUCUAACAAUGUCGCUUUAUAUAACUUAAAACCCCUAUAAAUCUGUAUUUGCCUAUGAACAGUAUCAUAUAACCUUCUACACGUCUAUGUACUUAUUAUUUCUACCCUAUUGUUUAAUAUAUAUGAUAAAUACAUAAGGAAUGUUAAUUAACGAGACAUGGAAACAUAAGUCACCCUUAACACAAAGGCGAAACUGGAAUUAUUUAUACCAAAAUAAGUAUCACAAUAUGCUUAAGGUCCCAUAUACCUUUGUGUUGAAAUCAAAUAAUAAACAGGAUACAAGCAAAUGUAUAUGAAAAUCUGUGCAUCAUAAAAUGUAUCGUAACAAUCAAACAAAAAACAAUAACAAAAAAAUAAAUAACAUGGAAUUCAUAAUCAGCAAAGAAGUCUUUGUUAAGAUCUGCAUCAUAUACUUUUUCUUAAUUUUUUCAAAUUGGCCAAUCAUAUCCAUUUUCUUAAUUUUUUUCAAAUUGGCCAAUUAUAUCCCUCUUCUUAAUAUUUUUAAACUAGCAAUAAAUUUAAAUCUUGAUUUUUUUUUCUUAUUUUAUAAUAAAAAAAUAAACAAUAAACAAUGUUAUAUUUGUAACAAUUUUAAAACUUUGUCGAUAUUGACCAAAAUAUCUAAAGAUUUAUUAAAUCAGGUGGCUAUUGUGGAUUCAUUAUUAUUUGUUGGGUACCAAUGUUCAUGAAUUUAGUGGAAAACCAAGAAUUUAAAUGUUCAACAAAUUAUUUUUUUCUAUAAGUUUGUAUGCAGACUUUGGAAAAACUAGAAAUCAAGUAUUUACACAAAUGCAAGUUUUUCGCAAUCCAAGAAAAAAAGUACCCACGAAAAUAAAUGAAUCUGCAGUAUAAUCAAUAUUUUUUACCUACAGAAUACAUUUAUCAUUCUUAAAAGAUGAAAUUCAGGUUUGCACAAAUUUCGAAAUUUAUUGACGAAUAGUAUAGAUGUAGCCAAGGUAUACAAUGCUGUUAUCUUAACAGAAGACUUCUCUGCAAAACAACAAAUAAAUAUAGUAAUAAUUUGUUCUUUCCAGCAACCUACCCAUAAUGCCAAGUAAAAAAGUAUGUAAAUGCCUGUCAAAUACUACAUAAGGUCAAAGGUCAAGUAUGAAAAGUGAGUAGCUUUUUAUAUACAACAGAAUACUCCAUUAGCUGUACACAUCAAGCAUAUAUACUAUACAUAUAUAUAUAUUUAUCUAUAUACAAUUCAUUUAUCUACAAAUAUAGAAUUAACAUCAAUCAUUUAGUGAAUAAUAUCUCCUUUUACGAAAUUGAAAUAAAUUUAUACCUCUACAUAAAAUAACACUCAAUCCCCCCUUUAAACAAAAUAUUGCUAAGUAUUGACAAAAUUAUAAUUUUCCAGACUUAAAAUUAUUAUUAUUUUUUUACUGCAGUAUCAUUUUAUGUUGGUCUUAAUUAUUUGUGAAGCAAAGUUUUAAUGUCUGUAGAACCCUGAUCUUUUUCAUGUCUGCAAAAGACAGGAUCAGGUCUUGGAUCCUGAACAUGUAAUGAUGCCUUAAAUGUCCAGGAAAGAUAGAUAUUGACAAACUGCAGUGCCCAAGUUUAGAGGCAGAUUUAGAGGAGUGGCCAGGUCUCAAGGUCAUCUGCCAUCUGCCAUUUCAAGGAUUCCCCAUCUGAAUCUUUUUUUCUGAGUAAAGAUACUUAAUAGUAUGAACAUAAGAAGAAAUAUUUGAUUCAGCAAUAAUACUGUGCCAUUUUUUCUACAAACAAAGCAACAGGGGCAUGUCUUGAAAUAUAGCUUAAUAUUUGAUCUAACAAAAUCUUAAAAAAUUCACAGCAAAUGUCUUAAAGAAAAAAAAAGAUCUUUGUAUUCUAUUAAAAUGAUAAAUUUGCAUUGAUUGACAAUUAUCAUAAGCAUUUCCUUUAUUUUAUGCUGUACUUUAUUGCACGAUCACCACCUCAUAUCUGGAUUUCCUUGAUCAUAUCUAUUAGAGUUAUAACUAGAGUUCAACCCAAGCCAUUAUGAUUUCAAUAGCUACAUGACAAGUUGAAAAAGAAAGAAAAAAAGAGAAAGAUAUGUAAUUAUUUUUCUUCUUCUCAGUUUUGUACUUUUCUUUUUCUAAAGUUAAAAUGAAGGAAAUUUUUUGAAGCUUUAUCCAUAUGCCCUUUACAAGAAAACUAUAGAUACAUAAUCAUUUAAGAUCAUGAAAAAGUCAAAUUGAAAACAAAGUUAACAACAAAAAGUAUAAAAAAGCUAUAUCAAAAAAUGCAUAUCGAAUACAUCUAUCCACCAAAUGUACAAUGCCAGUCUCCAACAUCAACUCUUUAAACCCAUCACCUUAAAAAUGCCUCUUUUAUCAACAAAAACUGUCUUACUGGUCAACCUUAAGAUUUAUAAAAGAAGUCCUCUACUUAAAAAAAAAUCUGCAAAAAUUAACUUGAAAUAAGCCUUCCAUCAAAUCAAGACUGGUGAAAUUUACAAAAGAAAGAAUUGAUUUUUUUUAUUUAUUAAAUACGUAUUUGAAAUAAAAUUAUAAAGUUUGAAAAUAUCUUAUUCUGUGACAUAUAUAACAUAUGAAAUAAUUGGAAUUUAUAAAAAAUUAUUAAGAGAGCUAUAGAAAAAGCAGGAAAAAAAAAUUACUUCUGUUUUGAUAUUUUCAAAGUCUAGCAUUUCUUUAUACCCUGCAAAAAAUUAUUGCACCUAAUUUUAGAUAAAUACACCAAUAUUCAUAAAUCUAACUUAACAUUUGGACCAUGACAUGUAUUUAUAAACAAAAGAUUAAGCAUUCCUUCUUGAUAUCUAGAUGGUCAAUAUUCAGCACCAAACUGAACACAUAAAUAAGAAUGUUGUCCAUACCAAAUUUUAUUUGUAUUACCAGUACUAGUGGCAAUAUAACAUGAGUUGUAGCAAAAUAAAAAGUUUAUCUGACCCAUGCGAAUAAAAGCUGAAGAAAAUGUUGUCAAAUCCUUGUAUGAAAAGUGUGGACACAGAAUGUGAAUUUUAAACAGAUUAGAGCUAUUUUCCUAAUGCAUGUAGAUUAAAGGUUUGGUAAGCUUGCUUGCUUUGUUUGUAAUAAUGUUUGUUCAAGCAUCCAAUAACAUUAUACAAGCUGAAUCCCCGCCUAUUUAUUGAUGGCAGAUGUCAAUCUAAUUACAAUGCUUGAGCAAACAUUUAUACAAACAAAGCAUGCGAGUCAACCAACAUUAAUACUACAUGCAUUAGGAAAAUAUCUUUAAUUAUCAAAACUAAUGAAAUUGGUUUAACUUAGGAUGAAAGAUUAUCUUAUGCCAUUACAUUUUGUACUAUUUGAAUAAAUCUGUCUACAAAACUUAAUUAUACUACAAAUAAAAUGACCUCACUAUGUACAUAACUAGCGAUAAAUAUUUGAUAGGAUUAACAAGUCACAGCCGAUCUCUGAUUAUUUUAUUGUGUUUAUUGAAAUGAGCAAGAAAACUUUUAAGCACAUACUCAUACUAUAUAUAGAUAUAUACUUCAAAUCCAAAGAUGAAAUAUUGUGUCUGAUCACAAGCUACAUACCACAAACAAACUAUAUUUUGUUCAUACUGCUUGUCCUAUUACAUUCUAAAGUUCUCUAACAGGUGAUGUCCUAAAUGGUCAGAAUUGAUAUUUCAUAUAUAUUAUGAGCUGGGUGUGAUAGAUAUUAACAUUCUGCAAGUGUAUGUAUACAUGUACAUAUCUAAGUCUUUCAUUUAUUUUGGAACAUUCAAAUACUAAAUAAAGAUGAAUUUUGGUCUUUUAUGUAGGGAACUUAUCUAACAACUAAAUUUGCAAACAGUUACAGACUUUCCCUAUAGAUUUAAUCAAUCCAAAAUUGGUAAAUAGAUGUAUUGAUAUCUAUUUGCAUAAGGGCUAUUCCAGAAAAAAAUGUAGGGGGGGUUUGGAAGGCACCUUAUAUUAAUAAUACAUGGGUGAUGGGUAUCAUAGCAACUUUUUCACACUAUAAUGCACUAUAAUUCUCAAUUACAAUUUUCUGGGUGGGGGUGCUGACAAAAACUGCCUUCCAACCCAUCCCCUACAUUUUUUUUUCUGGAAUAGCCCUAAGGUCAAUUCCUAUCUGGCCCAGCUCGUGUGCUAGAUCAAUAAUCUUUACAUUAUAUAUCUAAGUUCUAACAUCUUAAUUAUCUUUGGGUAAUGUAAGAAAAUAAAGUCUAAUUGAUUAUAACAUAUUCCAAUAAUUAGUAUUGCACUAAUGCAGACUUGUAUAUUAUUGCACACUAAUACUUAUAAGAGUCAGAAAACUUUCAAUGCUUGUAUGUUGUGAAAAUGUAAUUGGGAAAAUGCCAUAUUGAUUAAAAUUCACAUGUUAAAUAUACAACUUCUUGAAAAAGUAUUAAUUAAUAUAAGUUUUGUCUGAUCAGCAACUAUCACAUUAAUAAAUGCAUGCAAUAAUUUCAGUGAUGACAGUAUUCUUUUAGAGGGAUAUAGAAAGCAGCUGUGUAUAUGAUGUUAGGUUUGUUAUACUAUGGUAUCAUUGACAGAAACUAGAUUUUUUUUGUAUCUGAAAAACUGAAUAAAAAUGUUUUGUUGGUUUGUAAAACAUUAAAGCUUUAAAAGUAAUACAUUCUGCAAAGACAAUAUCAACAAUUACCAAAUAGAAAUGAGUUGAUUAUGUAUCCUUCUAAGUUUAAGGGGGUAGACCUUGGUUCAGGGAGAUAACUCUUUAAAUCAGUUAAGCGUUUGUAAAAGUCAAGUUCAUCAAUGUAUUUUAAGCAUUUACCAGAAACGGAUUUAAAAUAAUCUAUGUAACCUAGAAGCUUAGAAUAUAUUUUUGAAAAUGGUUGACACAAACGUACUGAUGAUUUUAAGAGUUAUUCCCCUUAACCUAGGUCUACCUCAUUAAGAGUUUGUUUUUGAAUUUAUAUAAUCGCUUAUUAGUAUUUCAUGGAGUUAUACGUCAAAUGUUAAACCAUGAGAACCUACUCAUUCAUUUUUUUCAAAAUUUCUACUGGAAUGCUUCCAUUAUCAAGAGUAGAAUUAAUUGUGUAGACUUAUAGACUAGCUAAAUAACUUAAAGAAACAAAU
rnacentral:lncRNA from 1 species